rnacentral:lncRNA from 1 species
UUAUUCCUAAAUAUAUUUUAUUUUAUAUAGUAUAGAUUACACAUGUUUUCUUCAUUUUCUAUUCUCGUGUAUAAAAAUUUCUCGUAAGAAUGCAAGUUCUUCUCAUAUUACUAUUUUUUCUAUUUAGUUUUAAUUAUUUUAUCUUAUUUUGUGCACAUUCAAUAAUUGAACCGGUCUCAGUUUAGAAUCUCAAUUGCAUUUAAUAAUUAACCUAUCAUGGAUAUAUUCUUAAAAUUAUUACAUCAGUGAACAACAGAAUUUUCUGCAGCAAAGGAAGAAAACUUUGAAGUCCAUGAGCUACCACAUACUUUCAUAGUUUUGCUAUUUGAAACACAAACAAAAAGAAAAAAAAUCAAAUAUAUAUCAUGAUCAUUGUGUGUUCUUUAGCAGUCUAAUGAUUUCAGUUCCGAAUUGUUAUCAUUCCCUUCAUCAAAAUAGUAAAUUGAAGCCAAAUAAUUCAAGAGAUCUGUAAGAAUAAGUUUAAAGACAUAAAAAACAAACUUUAUAGCAAAUAAGCCCCCAAACCUACAAAAUUUUAGUAUACAUUUAGUAUACUACACUCGCAUCAAAUAUUCAGAAAUAGGUAGAUGAAAGUUAUAAAACCAGAGAAUGCUUAGACAGGCUGGUGGCAGGCAAUACUCUAGAGACAUUCGUUAUGAAUUCCAGUACGGUGGGAAAACUUCAUAGAAUAUAGAUAAGGCCUCAUUGAACAUUUUCACUCGUUCCCUGUUGAAAUGCAUAGUUAUGCAAUGCUAUUCCUUAAUUACACAAAUCUAUCAUAAAUGCAAAUAAAAAACUUACAAAGAACUACCUCGCCUUCACAGUGCUUGAAUUCAAACCAUCCCUCAUUCGCUUGACAUCUUCUGGUACUGUCGAUAGCAGUAGCUUUCCUUUUGCAGAACUAGAUGGAGAUUUAUCAGUUGAAAUUCCAAGAGCAGCAUUAACAUGUCGCUUAUAAUCCACAUGAAUCAUGAUGAUUAGACUUAUGAUCAAAAUGUGUUGCUGGCAACUUCAGAUCAAAAUGCACAUAAUUGAAGAAGCUCUCCACAUCCCCAUGUGUUGCUGGAGAUCUACUUCACUACUUCUCAACAUAGUGGGCAGAGAAGACAAAAAUGGAUUUUUCAUGCAUUCUCGAAACCUACCUGAUCUAUCUAAUGAAGCAGCUAUGUUGGAUCCAUGCUGCGCAAUGUGCAGUGGUCUAUCCAGGCUACUGGAAGAUGGAUCUAAUUUACUAGAUGUUGUCAUUGCACUAAUUCACGCACAUCCUUCGAGUAAAAAAUACAGACCAGAGAUUGGUGCAUGACAAAAUUGCAGAACAGAAGCACAUAAAGGGCAAAUCAAAAUAUAACAAGAGAACAGUUGGACAGAUUAGAUCAAUAUGGUAAUAGAAAAGUCAAACACAAUUGACAUAUAUACUAUUUCCAAAGCAUAAAUAUCAAAAUUUGUAGAAAUAAUUAACAGUAUCAGCACCACAAUUCUCAUACAAAGCUUCUUAAAAUGGAAACCCUAAAAAAAUUAUAAACCAUUAACUUCAAUCAAUCAAUCAUAAAUUAUGUCAACUGAAACAUAAAAUUAAACAACUUUACACUUAUGGUUCCUUCUAAAAAAAACUUUACACUUAUGGUUAAUUAAUAGUGUAAAUAUUUUUACACUAAUGCUGUAUACAAAUUAAAUUCUAUAUAUCAGUACAUUGACAGAGGAUCUCAAACACAAACUUGGAAAAUUAUGUAAAUGCUUUUCUAAGGUUACAAUCAACAGUUAAAACUUGACAUAACUCAAUCAAUGUGUACAUUUUACACUUUCUGCUUAUAGCCUAAUUAGUUGAAGCAAGUGUUGUUCAUAAACAAUUAUCUCCAAUCUCCAAGUAUGGAAAAUAGCAUAAAAACCAUCCAAUUUGUAUGCAUCGUGCAAGACGAGGAUAAUGAAGAGAUAUGAGAAUUAGUAUAUGUUCAGAUUUGGCACGAUAGAAAAGCACUGAAGCAUAUUGAAUAAAAAUAACCAUCCAUCACAUUAAUCAGGACAAUACUCCAAAAUUAACAAAAUUAUUAUUUAUA